rnacentral:rRNA from 1 species
GCAUAUCAAUAAGCGGAGGAAAAGAAACCAACAGGGAUUGCCCCAGUAACGGCGAGUGAAGCGGCAACAGCUCAAAUUUGAAAUCUGGCCCCCCCCGGGGGGCCCGAGUUGUAAUUUGCAGAGGAUGCUUUGGGCGAGGCGCCUUCCGAGUUCCCUGGAACGGGACGCCACAGAGGGUGAGAGCCCCGUCUGGUCGGACGCCGAGCCUCUGUAAAGCUCCUUCGACGAGUCGAGUAGUUUGGGAAUGCUGCUCAAAAUGGGAGGUAUAUGUCUUCUAGAGCUAAAUACCGGCCAGAGACCGAUAGCGCACAAGUAGAGUGAUCGAAAGAUGAAAAGCACCUUGAAAAGGGGGUUAAACAGUACGUGAAAUUGUUGAAAGGGAAGCGCUCGUGACCAGACUUGGGGCGGGCGGAUCAGCCGGCGUUCUCGCCGGCGCACUCCGCCCGUCCCAGGCCAGCAUCAGUUCGCGCCGGGGGACAAAGGCGGCGGGAACGUGGCUCCCCAGGGAGUGUUAUAGCCCGCCGCGCCAUGCCCCGGGGGCGGACUGAGGGCCGCGCAUCACUGCAAGGAUGCUGGCGUAAUGGUCACCAGCGACCCGUCUUGAAACACGGACC